AAGUUUCAUCUAAGCAUAGUGGUCCAAAUUUUCAUUAUCUUUUUUGCCUUUUAUAUUAAUAGCAUUAGAAUAAGUAUGUCUAUAACUUUUAAAAUAUGUUAAUUUUAUUUCUGUUAAGGUUUAAUAUUGUGAUGCUCAGUUACAUUAUACUUACUAAGUUAAGUUUAACUGAGGCUAAAUUCUAUUAAGUUAAUUUUGUUAGAUUUCAUUUCUGUUAAGUUUCAGUGCCACUAAGUUUAGGCAAUGUUCUGUUCCAGUUUUAUUUAGAUCAUGUUGUGUUCAGUAUUAAUAAUGAUUAACUUUGAGUUCUCUUCAGUGUGCUUUUGUUCUACUGAAGUGAUAAUUAAGCUACAUUCUCUUAUGACUGUGAUAAAAGGAUAGGUUGGCUAGUCAGGAGACAAUCCUGAGAAAGAGGGAGCUGAAGCUACUGAAGGAACGCUUCAAAAGGACUGGAAGACUGUCUAAAUGGGAGGGAGACUUGCUUCUGUGAGGAAUCUACUGUGAGGAUUUCAGAAUUUCAGGGAAAGAUAUCUGAGCUUCAUUGAAAACCCCCUCUAAACUGUUGAUCUUGAGGUUCAUGAGAGAGAGGACAGAGCACAGAUGCGAUCCCAGUCAUUUCUUACAGAAGCACUCCAGCAGUUUGCUGCCUUUUAGGCAUCUCUCUCCUAAGGAUAACUUCAGAGCAGAUUCAAAGUAGUCAUCUAUUCAAUUGACCAGACAUCAAUUGCUUCUGAAAACAUGAGCCCAGUGAAAAGUGAAAUAACCUAAUCAUCAUGCAACCUUCCUGACCAGGGCAGGAACAGAAGAAGAACUGCCAAGAUAUAGCCGUGUCUGGAAACUUACAGAGGCAAUUUGCCAACAAAAGCCUUAUGUCAUCAUCAUGAAAUAGUGUUCCUACUAACCUUCUUCAGUUAUUCCCUAUUCCAGUAUCCAAGAGGACAUUCAGUAAUGUCAAAGAUCAACAUUUACAGCUAAUGGACUUUCUCCUACUUCUCAACUAAUUGGACUUUCAAAAAACAGUCCUUAAUUUCCUUAGGAGACAUUGGACAUGGAUGUGAUAGGAUUUAAUAAGUUUUAUUGACUGUAAUUGAUCUUUUAUGUAUCUUAUUCCAUAUCUCAUAGAUAACUGAUAAUACCCUCACAAGAGUGAGCUGUUGUAACAUCAGAACAUAUGAACCUUUUUUAAAUUAACAAAAAGGGGGAGAUGUCAUAGAUGAUAGAAGAAUUAUAAAAGAAAGGCCUCAUGAAAUCAGGCCUUGCUCUGCUAAAUUAAUAGCUGGCUUUUCACUUCUAAAGUGCAGCUAAGUGGUUUGCAAGUUGCCAUAUGAAAACAGUCUUGGGAAUGAGAGUUUGUAAACACAACAAACUAUUCCUAGGUGAAAAACAAUUUCACCUGGGCAAAUAAUGCGUUUGUCCCAUGAGAAUCAGUGAAGAAAUAUGUGAACAAUUCAAGAAUAGAGAGAUUUGGACAAGUAAAAUACCUUUUACUAACCAAUAGAGUGAUUGGCAAGAAAGCGGUUAACCAAUUAAAGUUGCACACAAUAUAAUAUUAUAAUCUGUAUAAAAUGAGUUGUGUGAAUAAAGAAUUGGCUUUUCUUGCAUGAAGAAAAUGGACUCUUGGCUGAAUUAUUACAACAGAAAUUCUGUGAAAUAAAGAACUUUCCUAAACAACAGUCUUUGGUAUAAUAAAAUUUUAUUGAACUUACAUGUAAGAAAACCACUAUUUUCUGAAUUGCUUGUAUGUUUUGGAUGUGAACAGUGAGAUCAAACCCUGCCAUCCAUUACACAGUAUGGAAAUGCAACAUGUUUGAUCUUCAGCCUCAAGGAAUGGGUGAAAUGCAAGCUGGCAGUU
rnacentral:lncRNA from 1 species